UAAACGCAACACUUUUGUUUUUGCCUCCAUUCUUCAUGAGCUGAACUCAAAGAUCUAAGACUUUUCCUAUGUACACAAAAUGUAGACACAAAUCUGUCUAAAUCUGUGUUAGUGAGCACUUCUUUUUUGCUGAGAUAAUCCAUACACCUCACAGGUGUGGCAUAUCAAGAUGCCGAUUAGACAGCAUGAUUAUUGCACAGGUGUGCCUUAGGCUGGCCACAAUAAAAGCCCAUUCUAAAAUGUGGGAGGCAUGAUUGAUUUUAGUCCAAAAGGAUCUUUAAAAAUAUUUAACUUAAAUGGUUAUAUGAAACCGUGAUGAAAUGGUAAAAUCACAAAAUAGUACGCUAUUUAACUCAAAAGUAUGAUAUCAAACAAUGAGAUAUGAGUGAGAAAACUAACCUUUGGGGAGACAGCUCAGUUGUCAGCAAGACUGAAGUGAGCAUCAUAAGUGUUCAGGGAGUAAGGAGCACUGAACACUGUGUAGAGACUGUCAACAGGCUUCGCUCCAUCAGAAGGUGGCAACCUCUUCUUCUGAUGCUUAAACAGCUUGGAUGCCAUGGCAUGAACAACUUUACACAGUUAGCAUGUCCAAAUUUUAAGGUGCUUAUUCCACCUGACACGCAACAGUAAUAGCAGCGGCACUGCUGGGGCAUACGAUCGCUGCCAAUUUGUUGUAUUCUCUAGUAUACAGCAACUGGACAAGUAAUAUCUUUAGGCUUUUUAUUCAUCAAAUACUAGAUUUUUUACACAUAACUCUCUCAGCUUCUUCUUAAGCUGGCCACACACUAGACAAUUUUCAAAUCUAAACCAUGGGAGACCCCGAUCGUUCGGGGGUUCAAAUCGGGCUUAAAUUCGGCCUUAAAAUCCCCUACUGUGUGGCCAGCUUUAGAGAAUAUUAAGCACCACCUCUACACUAAACAAUAUGCUGCCACCUUGUGGUUAAACAACAAAACUCCCUAAAUUCCUGUGUCCCUUCAAACCAGUGGGCUCAAACUCAAUUUCUGGAAGCAAUCAAACACACCUGAUCAGCACAACCCAAAUCAAACACACCCGAUCCAGCUAAAUAAGAUCUUCAAGAUUACUAGAAACCUCCAAGCAGGUGUGAGUUAAAGCUGGUUGGAACUAAACUUUGCAGAUCUAUGGCCCUCCAGGAAUUGAGUUUGAGACUUCUGCUGUAAACCAAACCGCCAAAUUCUUCUUAUAUAUAUUUUUUAUCUUAAUGUUUCUAAAAUCAGUAAAGACAGUGUUAAAAUUUUUUUUUUUUUUUUUACAUUACAACAGGCAGAACAAAUUUUAGUCAAGAACUUGUUCUGACUAGUUCAAUCUGUGUGUACAUUCACAUUCUUAUGGUGGGUGUGGUACACUAUAAAUUCAUUGGGGGAAACCUAAAUUGCACAAUUUAUUAGAGAUAUUCAUAAGGAAGGAUAUUAUCAAGGACAUAUUUUUAAGAACUAACUUUUUAUUUUUUCUCUUUCAUUUUCAAGAAAAUAUCCAGUUCAGGCACAAUGAACAACAUGCUCACCUCAGGCAGUUUCUCAUCUCCAAGUCAAAGUAGUGCUCAUGAUGAUGAUCCUUCUCAAAAUGAAAGGUUAGUAUAUAUUUUAUUUUGCCUAUUAAGCUAAAAUUGAAUUAAGUUAAUUUAUUUUGAGGUAAAGAUUUAUGUUAUUAGAAUUUUUUUUUUGCUAUGAGCUCUAGAUAAAAUUCAGACACCUUCAACAUUUCUCACAUUAUCAGUUUAUUUGCUAUAGUUUAGAAAAUGGUAAUAAAAUAUAACACAAACUCA
ensembl:lncRNA